CAAAUUAUAGCUUAUUAGUGAGCAUUUCAUUUACACUGAAAAAGAUUGUUGUGCAAUUCAGCUUGAUUUGA
rnacentral:tRNA from 1 species